AGGGUUCGAUUCUGGCUCAGGAUGAACGCUAGCUACAGGCUUAACACAUGCAAGUCGAGGGGCAGCAUAUCGAAGCUUGCUUGAUAGAUGGCGACCGGCGCACGGGUGAGUAACGCGUAUCCAACCUUCCCCUUAGUAGAGGAUAGCCCGGCGAAAGUCGGAUUAAUACUCUAUGUUGUAUUUUUGAGGACAUCUGACGAAUACCAAAGAUUUAUCGCUAAGGGAUGGGGAUGCGUCUGAUUAGCUUGUCGGCGGGGUAACGGCCCACCGAGGCGACGAUCAGUAGGGGUUCUGAGAGGAAGGUCCCCCACAUUGGUACUGAGACACGGACCAAACUCCUACGGGAGGCAGCAGUGAGGAAUAUUGGUCAAUGGACGAGAGUCUGAACCAGCCAAGUAGCGUGCAGGAUGACUGCCCUAUGGGUUGUAAACUGCUUUUAUAGGGGAAUAAAGUGAGGUACGUGUACCUUUUUGUAUGUACCCUAUGAAUAAGGACCGGCUAAUUCCGUGCCAGCAGCCGC
rnacentral:rRNA from 1 species